UACGUAGGGGGCAAGCGUUGUCCGGAAUUAUUGGGCGUAAAGGGCGCGUAGGCGGCUCGGCACGUCCGUUGUGAAAUCGCCCGGCUCAACUGGGCGGGGUCGGCGGAUACGGCCGAGCUGGAGCAAGCUAGGGGGUAAUGGAAUUCCCGGUGUAGUGGUGGAAUGCGUAGAUAUCGGGAGGAACACCAGUGGCGAAGGCGGUUACCUGGAGCUUUGCUGACGCUGACGCGCGAAAGCGUGGGGAGCGAUCCGG
rnacentral:rRNA from 1 species